UUUACUUCAUCCUCCCCAUUUACAUAGGGCGUACCCAAAGCAACCAAUGGAACAAAGAAUUGGACAAAACGCACAAACAAAGCAAGGAAGGAAUGAAGGGUUUUAUUGAAAGUGAAAGUACAGUCCACAGUGUGGGAGUGAGCCUGAUCAGAGGGGCUCAAAGGCCCCGUUAUAGAAUUUUUGGGAGUUUAAAUACCCCCGAGAACCUGGACACCCUCCAUCAUUAACAUAUUUUGGUGACCCAGGAAGGAGGAAGAGAUGUGGAAAUGCAUCUUGUUCUAGUACAUCACAUUCCAGGGAACAAAGAAUUCCUUUACAAAGCCGGGUGUCGUCGUUUUCUUAGAAGAACCACUGCAACGGACAGUCCUACAAUAUAGGGACUUUGAUCAUCUCCAGUGUGCCUAGGAGACAGGCUCACUAGUGAGGAGUGAUGCAGCCCAGGAAUCACAGUGGUGCAUUUUUGGAUCAACAAUCUCAACACUGGUCUCAGUAUCCUAACCCACGUGGGGAGCAACUGGGGACAGAUCACACCACCAUAAUGUUCUACUAAGAAUGUCUUUCCUCCUCUAAGCAGUGCCUGUAAAUAGUGGGUGAUUCUUCGCCACCUCCCUGCUUCGGGAGUGAGCUUGUGACAGACCUGGCCAGUCAGCAAAUUCUCUCCUGCUGAUAAGACCGAUUAGGUCAGAGAUGGGCACGUGCCCUAAGUUUACCCAGUGAGGCUCAGCAGGAGCCUUCUGUUGGGAUUGUUGGGAAGAAUGUGGCACCUCUCUAUUGGGGUGGUGGAGCUGUGUCAGUGAAGAUACGCAGCUCCUAAACAUCACCGAUGGAGAGGGUUUGCUUGAGAAUGAAGCCCAUACAAGGAAAGACACAUUGAGAGAGGAGACAAGCUUGCUGAUAGUCUAAUCAAAGAACCAAGGGAUGCGCUAACCCUAGUCUUCCCAGUGACAACAGAUUCAUUCUGAUUAAUUCAUUAAUCAACUGUGAGCUGAUUAAUAGUUGAUUAAUUACCACAUUUUGCUGAAGGCAUUCGAGUGGUGUUCCUGCUAUUUUUAACCAGAGUCCUGUUGGAUACAGUAUACACAACUGUGAGCCCUCAUCUUCUCUGUCUACCUCUAGGUACAGACCAGAGGGAAAGGAGGCAAUGGGGCUGAGCCCCAUCCCUGUGUGUACUGUUUUUGCCUUACUGCAGAUAGCACUGCCUCGUUCUGGUCUGUGGCUUUUGUCUCUGGAGACGGAAUCCUUGGCCCCCAACAGUAUCUAUAUCCUAAUCCUUGGGACCUGUCUCCUGGCACAGGAGACUUUGCAGGUGUGCUGAAGGUAAGGAUUUCGAGAUGGGGAAAUUAUUAUGGAUUAUCCAAGCAAGUGCUAAAUAUAAUCAAAAUAGGGAGACAGGAGGAUGAGAAACAAGACACAUAUAUGACAGUGGAUGCAGAGGUGAAAGGAAGGGAGAGGGAGAAAGAAGAAGAGAGGGAGACAUUUGACUCUGUUGGCCUUGAAGAUGGAGGAAGUUACUCUGAGCCAAGGAGUGAAGAUAGCCUCUAGAAGCCGGAAGAGGCAAGAAAAGGAUUUCUCUCCUGGAGCCCUGGCAGGGAUGCUGCCCUGCUGACACCUUCAUUUUGAGAAUUAUGACCUCCAGCAUGAUAGAGCAAUAAAUGUGUUUUAAGCCAC